rnacentral:misc_RNA from 1 species
GUGAAUCAUCGAAUUUUUGAACGCAAAUUGCACUUUCUGGUAUUCCGGAAAGUAUGCCUGUUUGAGGGUCAGUUAAAUAAAAAUCGGCGUUUUUGCUGCUUUUCGUGUUGAGGCGCCGGAAUGGGUUGGUCUUACUUUCGGUUAGGUGAUUUAAAUUUUUUGCUUGAUUUUCGAACGUAUUUAAAUCGUUUACUUACGUUUGAGUUA